GAAAUGCGAUAAGUAAUGUGAAUUGCAGAAUUCCGUGAAUCAUCGAAUCUUUGAACACACAUUGCGCCCUCUGGCAUUCCGGGGGGCAUGCCUGUCCGAGCGUCAUUACGCACCCUCAAGCCCGGCUUGUGUGAUGGGCGUCUGUCCCCAAAGGGACUCGCCUCGAAUCGAUUGGCGGCCGGUACGUUGGCUUCGAGCGCAGCAGAAACGCGAACUCGGGCCCUAGCGAGCCGGCUCCCAUAAGCCACUACUCCUAGUUUUGACCUCGGAUCAGGUAGGGAUACCCGCUGAACUUAAGC
rnacentral:misc_RNA from 1 species